UACGUAGGGGGCAAGCGUUGUCCGGAUUUAUUGGGCGUAAAGAGCGUGUAGGCGGCUGGGUAGGUCCGUUGUGAAAACUCGAGGCUCAACCUCGAGACGCCGAUGGAAACCCCCCAGCUAGAGUCCGGAAGAGGAGAGUGGAAUUCCUGGUGUAGCGGUGAAAUGCGUAGAUAUCGGGAGGAACACCUGUGGCGAAAGCGGCGCACUGGACCACAACUGACGCUGAGGCGCGAAAGCUAGGGGAGCAAACAGG
rnacentral:rRNA from 1 species